UACGUAGGGUGCGAGCGUUAAUCGGAAUUACUGGGCGUAAAGCGUGCGCAGGCGGUUCGUUAAGUCAGAUGUGAAAGCCCCGGGCUCAACCUGGGAACUGCAUUUGAAACUGGCGGGCUUGAGUAUGGCAGAGGGGGGUGGAAUUCCGCGUGUAGCAGUGAAAUGCGUAGAGAUGCGGAGGAACACCAGUGGCGAAGGCGACACGCUGGGCCGUACCUGACGCUGAUACGCGACAGCAUGGGGAGCGAACGGG
rnacentral:rRNA from 1 species